UACACACACAUAUAUUAUGACAUUUUAUAUUUAAUAUAUAUGUAUCAAUUAACAGAUGUCUUUAAUAUCCCAAUAUAAUAACUCAACCCCUAACCUCACAGAAAGGCAGAAAUCCAAAGCAUCCUCCUUGACAUUUCAAGGACACCCUGAGAAAAGGAGAUUUCCUUUUUCCAGGGGCAGCCUCUCUCCUCUUAUUCCAGCCCCUCCUCUUGGCUCAGCUGUCAAUCCCCUUGAGAGAUCUCAGCACCGACCUUUUGUGCCCUGCUUUUCUCUCUAAGCCACUUAAUCCCUCUCAGGACAAGGACCUGUCUCCUGCAUUCCCCAUGGCAGCAACAACAUGAGGCUGUUUUGUGAAACAGCCUUUGUCCUAAAAUGUUGAGGACAAUAAGGUGGAGGCUGCAGCACAUGGCAAGAAAACACUGGGAACCAAAAAUCCGGCUUCUGUCUCUGAAGUUGAUUGGACGUGAUGGGCCCAGGCAAGAUUUGCCUGGCACAUCGUUCCUAAGGAAGCAGGAUCCCAACAAUGGAACUUUCCUUCUCUGCUGUCAACAAAGGACUAAAAAACUUCUGUGUGAUUUGAUACAGACAAUUUAGAAAACUUUUGUUUCAAAGUUUCCCAUCCAGACUAGCCAAGGAGAGCAAGGGAGGGGAGCUAAUAAGCCCAUUAAGGUGUCUUCCCAAACAAAUGUUUUCUUUGUCCUUCUGCCCAAAUGCAGAAACAGCUGCAGCUUUAAAAAAUAGCAUACUUUUAUCUUUUGAAGGAAAUAUGUGAAAGUUUUAGCACUGGUUGUCUUUGGUUGGCAAGAAAUUGUUUAGUGUUAUUUAUUUCUUCCUAUUUUUCUGAAUUUUCCAAAUUGUCCACAGCAAGCAUGACUACUUUAUCAUAAUAAAAUCUCCAAUGUAUUAUGCACCUGCUAGAUCUCUGACUUAAUCUUCACAAUAGCCCUAAUAGGGAGAUAUUAAUAUGCCCAUUUAGAGGUUCAGAAAGGUUAGGCAAUUUACUCAAGGUCACACAAGCAGAGGUGGAAAUCAAACUAGACCUUAGGCCCUGAGCCACUAAAUAAUGCUGCUUGUGGAGAUGCCCGUCCUCUACUUCAUCUGCAGGUGCAGAGCCUUGCACAUACAUGAAAGCUCACAAGAUCAUCUGAAUUUCCUCACCUGACUCCUCAUUGUAAAUGUGUUUGUCCUUGUAAACCCUUUGCACCUUUAACUCCAUCUCAGCAGCUGCUUCCUGAAGAAACAAACAGGCACGGAACACAGGAGGAAAAGUGGGAAGAAGGAAAGAAGGAAUGGGCUCCUCUCAUGCCAGGAGCUCUGAAGUUUGAGAAUGGGUAAUGUUUCUUGCCAGCUCCUUCUCCGAAGGCAGAUCAAAGUUACGGGAUCUAACUUUGCCUAAGAAGUCCUGUCCUCUCUUUGUAAAGUUACCAUCUGAGGCAGGACAGCACCAGUUAAGAGACACUAGGUUAGUAGGAAAGAUCAGGAUAUGGCCCUGUGGCCCUACUAGACCAGCUGGGCAGACUGAAUGUGGCCACACAAUUCUGGCUGUGAGCAUUAGAGACAAAUAUGAAAGGGCCAGUGAGACCAUAGAGGACCAUUGCAGAUCAGGGCCUUGCUGAGGCAGUAAAGAUCAACAUGGUUUUGCCACAGGAACAUAGAGUAGGGAAGGCUGUAAGGAGGAGCAGGUGAUAUUUGAUGUGAGCUUUGAUGGGCAAGCUCCCGGGGUACACAGUUACAAACCAGGACUCACAGCCUGCUCAGUACAUGUGUAUUUAGAAAGCUGAGCAUGCAUCAAGGUAUCACGAAGACUUCUUUGGACAUAGCAACAGAAACUGACUCUGGCUAAUGUAAAAGAAAAGAAGAUUUGCAGGAAGGCCACUGGGGAGCUGAAGAACCAGGCAGGGGAGCAGAGAGAAGCCUGGAAGCUCUGGUGCCCUGUGUGGCAGGAGCUCUUUUUCAACAAUUCCACCAGGGCACCACUGUGAAAAUGGAUGAACACCACGAUUUUUAGUGUCAGAGUUUAUUUGUUCAUGAUUCAAUUUCUAAGGAGAGAUACAGUGUUCUCCCACUAGCUUGGCAGGGUCUGAUGUUUUGAUUAACAGUCCUGACAAGAAAGUAUGCACAAUCCAAGAGGUAAGAAGAGAACCAGGAGAAUGUGAGGUCACAGAGAUAAGGGAGGAGAGGUUUCUAUGAAGGCAAUAGCCAAUAUCAUCCAAUGUGACCAACAGGUCCAGUAAAAUGAGGACAAAUAUUUACCUAUAGGAAUUAGCAAUCAGAAAAAGUGGUUUCAGUGUGGAGGUAAAAACAGAAGCUAGAUGCUCUGGGUUGAAGAUUAAAGACGAGGGAAAGUGCGGGAAGACCAUUCCUUUGAGAGAACUGAAUAAGAAGAGAAGGCAAGAGAUUUGUUGUUAGAGAUGUCAUUAGAUAAAGGGAAGAGUCUUUGAGGAUAGGGGAGACUUGGCCCUCGUAUAAGCUAAGAGAAGAGAGCACAGAAGAGGAGAACGUAAAGAUACAGAAGAGAAUGGCAAUAACAGACAAAUCACAGAGGCCAGAGGAAGCGAUUAGGGCCUAGGCAAGGACCUCCUUUGCACUCUGUCUUUGAUGUAGUGUGCUCCUUGCAGUUCAGAAUAUAUUAUACCUCACACUUUCUUGCUCUCUUGUUGCUUGAGUAUGAUUUUAAUCUCUAUGAUGAUUAAUUUUAUGUGUCAACUUGACUGGGCUAAGGGAUGCCCAGAUAGCUGGUAAAACAUUAUUUCUGGGUGCAUAUGUGAGGGUGUUUCUGGAAAAGACUAUCAUUUGAAUCAGUAGACUGAGUAAAGAAAUCACCCUCGUGAAUGUGGGUGAGUAUCCUCUAAUCUACUGAGGGCUGGAACAGACCAAAAAUCCAGAGGAAGGGCAAAUUAUCUCUCUUCUUGAGCUGGGACAUCCAUCUUCUCCUGCCCUCAGACAUCAGAGUUUCUGAUUCUUGGACCUUUAGAAACUUACACUAGCAUCUCUCCUGCCUGCCCCAGUUUUCAGGCCUUCAGCUUCAAACCUGAAGUUACACCAUCAGCUGCCCUGGUUUUCAGGUCUUUGGACUCAGACUGAAUUACACCAUGGGCUUUCCUGGCUCUCCAGCUUGCAGAUGGCAGAUGUGGGAUUUCUUAGCCUCCAUAAUUAUGUGAGCUAAUUCCCUUAAUAAAUGUCCUCGUCUAUCUAUCUAUCUAUCUAUCAUCUAUCUAUCUAUCCAUCCUAUUGGUUCUGUUUCCCUGAAGAACCCAGACUAAUAUAACCUCAAUUCAACCAUAAGCUCCUUGAAGGCAGGAACCAUGUCUUUGUAAGCAGAACAGGAAUGGUGCUGCAUAGGAGAUUGAGAGACCAGAAUCCUAGGACUAAUUUGUAUUAUCAGACUGUGCUAGACUGAAAGUUACUGAUAACUACAGUGGUGUGGCCAGAUAGGUUUUUUAAUUUUCUUAUAAAAUAAGAAGGCUGGAAGUAGGCAGUUCAGAGCUGGUACAGCAGCUCCACGGUGUAUUUAACAUGUCAGACUCCUAUUCAUUCAUUCAGCCAUCUUUAGUAGGUGGCUUUGGAGUUCACGCUUGGAGUUCACUUCUAAGAUUCAUAAUGGCUCCUUGGCCUCUGGGCUUAUACCCACAUUCUAAGCCAAAAGGAAAAAGGAGGAGAGGGACAGAAAGCUUGCAAAGCAAAAUCUUCCUACUAAUCCCAGGUGGACUCCUGUUUGCUUCUUGUGGCCAUCUCUAGCUGCACAGGAGUCUACCGCUCUAAACUGAAUUGGGGCUUCAUUGUACUCUAGCUUCUCUGCAUCCCUGCCUUCCUCCUAACAGCAUUCUUUGGGUUUCCGUUUGGGAAAUUGCCCCUCUCCACUAUGAGAGUCUUAGUAGGAGAGUAAAUUCAGAUGCUUUCCUUUCAACUUCUGCAGUUGAAGGAGUUUGCCAACACCUUUCCCAGGACAAAUAGGAGAGUGUAUACUAAUGUUGGCCAAUCUGAGGGCCUCUCCCAAGACUUUGGCUAGUGUGCAAGUGAAACAAGGGCAUAGAAAGUGUCUAGAGUUUAAUCAUCUAUCUCUGCAGCAGCUUCCUGACCAGACCAUUUCUACUAAGAGAUUAUUCCCAGGGUUUUCACUUUCUAGCUUUUCAGAGCUACUUUCUCCCUAUCCGUUUCUAAGCCUGGAUCUCCAAACUUUCUGUAAGUUCUGAAGGCCCAAUCCUGCCAAUAAACUCCCAUCUACUGGGUCACAGAGACUGUUUCAAUUGCUUCUAACAAAAAAGUCCUGACUAAUACUCCAAACCCACCACUGGUCAGGCGUGAUCUCGAGAAAAUCCUCUAACCUCUCUGGGUACUCUCUACUGAUCACAAAAGGAUGGGUUAUUCCUAAAGGCUUUUCCAUUAUGACUUUGACCACCUCCAGAAGGCCCUCUUUGUACCAAGUAGGCCCAAAUGGACAUCAAAGCCUGGAUUAGGGUUUUAGCAAUAGGGGUAAAAUAUAAAAGCUCCAUUAGGAACGGCAGCUGACAGCACUGGGAUGCUGCUACUGGAGCACUCCUUGGGCAAUUAACCCAGGUAAGCACCAACCAAAACCCACUCCACUGCUUUUGGCACCAGAGUGCAAUGUUUUCAUUAGCAAACAGGCACUAUUUAGUGUCUUCUUGCCAUAAUUAUAAAGGUCCACUUAUAAUUCUGUGCUUUCAACUGUUCUUGAUUAUAAGACUUCUUAAUUGUGCCACCAUAAAACAUGUUUUCAGGGGGAAUCUGUUUUCCACUUUAAAUUCUCUCCUGCAGCAAUGUAUUUGCCUUACAAAACUUCAGAAUAAAGGGUAGAGGCUUCUGUAAAUUCAUAGUCUGUACCUUCAAGGAAAAAUUACUUUGUUAGAAUAGCAAAGUGGCCCCAGUUUGGCCUUAUUUUCUAGCAAAAACUCAUUGCUUAGCUGCAUUUAAUAAUCCAUGGAACAUUUCUAUUAACUUCAGUGUGUGAAUUGUGUGACUGCAGAAUGGGUAAAAAAAAAGUGAGAAUCAGGAAUACAAAAUAUGCAGAAAAUGAAAAUAAGUGAGAUGUUAAAUAUUUGAUCAAGGCCUUUAUUUUCAGGUAACCAGUUGCCAUCUUGGGGUCUCAAAUGCCAACAGAAGCCACAGAAUACUAUUCUGAAUUAUUAAAGUGACUAGGAGAACCUUGUUUCUUUUUACUACUUUUAAAUGAGUAUGUAGCCUCUCAAGCUAACCUUUGCUUAAACAUUUAACAUAGACAUUGGGUGAAAUAUAAAAAAGCAAAAGUUCUCAGUCUAAUACUCAACCUGUAAUUAUAAAUCAGAUUACAUAAUACAGCUCAGCCAUUUCAUUUUAUUUUUCUGUGUUCUAACAAUUUUUUUCAGUUUGAGAGGAACCUAACCAAGAUUAGUUGAAAGUCUGCAUUCUAGAAUAUUUUUAUCUGUAUGUGUACUGAAUAUAUUUUUCAUUUGCUCAAUUCAAUGCAUUCAUUCAUUCAACAGAUAUUUAUUGAAUAUCAGGUGCUAGGCACUGUUGUGGGUGUGAGGACAUAUCAGGGAACAAAAUGUAUAAAGAUUCAGCCACUCUUGGGCCCUACACUUCUGCGAGGGAGACAGAUAAUGAGCAAAAUAUCCUCCAAUGAUAGGUAGUAAGUACUACAAAAGGGGUUGUAUGGGAGUAUUUUUGUUUGUUAAGUGGAGCUGUCUACUAGAAAGCUAAUGAAUUGGGAAAGUUAUCCUAAGAGUGGGCGGUGUGUUAUUUAGGUCAAUGAGGACAGCAGCACCAUGGUUCUAGGUGCAAAUAGGCCCAGUGUGUCCAAGGAACAGCAACAGAGUCAAGGAAACCAGAGAUGAGAAUGGCUGACAGCUGGAGCACUUGUCAGGGCAGAUCCUUGAGGGCCUUGCACACCAGGGGGAGGACUUGAGAUUUUACCCUAAUUGUGGUGGAAGCCACUGGAAACUUUUGAGCAGAGGAGUGUUAUAAACUGAUUCACGUUUUAAAAGGAUAAUUUUAGCUCAAUAGUAAGUAUAGCCAUGAAGCCAAAUUGACAAAGUGAAGGUUUUCUAGUGAGGACCUGCUUUGAUGCUUGUAUAAGAAAGAUCUGGCAUGAGCACUAUCUGUUCACUGUUUGUAAGAAAACACCUGGCCGGGCACGGUGGCUCAUGCCUGUAAUCCCAGCACUUUAGGAGGCCAAGGCGGGUGGAUCACCUGAGGUCAGGACCAGCCUGGCCAACAUGGUGAAACCUUGUCUCUUCUAAAAAUACAAACAUUAGCUGGGCGUGGUGGCGAGCGCUUGUAAUCCCAGCUACUUGGGAAGCUGAGGCAGGAAAAUCACUUGAACCUGGGAGGCGGAGGUUGCACGCCACUGCCCUCCAGCCUGGGCUACAAAAGUGAAAUUUCAUCUCAAAGAAAAGAAAAGAAAAUGCCCAUCUGCUGAAGUAGUUGCAGUGACUGAAAAGUUUGCCCUCUUUGGUCAUUUGAAAAGUCCACCAGUCUCCCUUUUACAUUUUACUUUUACCCACUCAAAGCUUGCUUUUCCUCAGCGACAGGUCAGAAGUCAAGGUUAGAAUAGGUUCAUCCAAAUACAGAGGCUGCCCCAGUCUACGGCCUCAUCACAAUCCAUCCACAAGCAAGCUUUCCAGAAUGGCCUCAGGUCCAUCCCAGGACUGUGACUCUCAGCCAUCUGCACAUUGCUUACUGCCCAAAGAGUUCCUCCUGAAACUUCAUCAGCACACUGUUAAGUGAUAGAAGGAAACUGCAGAAUAGUGUUAUACUGUAGCCAGAUCUCAUUUUAGUAAUGACAUUUUUAUGCCUAGAAAUAAUGUUUUAAAUGUUCAAAAAUAUGAGCUAAGUGGUCAGUUCCAGCUUUUUUCCCUGUAGAGACCUGUCUCCUGCAGCCUUGGGUGGGAUGAUUCCAAGGCAUGCUCUUCACACAGUUUUCUAGGGUUUUCCCCUAGGAUUAAGCCCUAAACAUCUAUUAUAGUAGCUGGCUUAAUCUUUUAUUGAGCUCCCCUUUUCUUCCCUGUAUUGCUUCUUCAUUACUCUGCUGGUGUUCCAUGUACCUCUCAAAUAACUACUUGCAUUAAUUCUUACCUCAGGAUCUGGUUCUGAGGCACUCAAGCUGAGACAUCCUCUAUGUAAAAUCUUCCUCCUUCCUGAGGUGGCAUUAGGUGGCCACCUUCCUUGAGCCAUAAUGGCAGAUAGGAUCCAGGAGAAAUGAAACUUACCAAUAAAGGAGAGAUCUGAAAAUAUUAUUCCCAUUAUACCCAUAAUCCAGUAGUCUUUUUGUGAGCUUAAGCAAAUACAAGACUUGCAUUUAGGUAUUCCUCCUUCUAAAAAAUUAGGAGGUAGUUGCCUCUCCAAAAUGGAUUUCUCAGCCAUUGCGUCUUCACCGCUUAGGUUAGGUAAAGCUUGGCUAUUAUAUGAGGUUCUUACCUUCCAGCACAAGGGGACGCUACUUUUUUAAAAAAAUAUUUUUAUUUCCAUAGGUUAUUAGGGAACUGGUGGUAUUUGGUUACAUGAGUAAGUUCCUUAGAGGAGAUUUGUAAGAUUUUGGUAUACCCAUCACCCGAGCAGUAUACACUGAACCCAAUUUGUAGUCUUUUAUCUCUCACUCCCUUCCCAUUCUUCCCCUCUGAGUCCCCAAAGUCCACUGUGUCAUUCUUAUGUCUUUGCAUCCUCAUAGCAUAGCUCCCACUUAUGAGAAUAUACCAUGUUUGGUUUUCCAUUCCCGAGUUACUUCACUUAGAAUAACACUCUCCAAUCUCAUCCAGUUGCUGUGAAUGCCAUUAAUUCAUUCCUUUUUUCUUGCCUAGGAAACCAGGCUUCCUCCUAGACCAAGCUUUAGUCUUCACUACCUCAGGCAGAGAAAGCUUCCCUUGCAUGAGGAAGUCAUUGCCCAGCCUCUUCUCUGCUCUCUGUGUGCAGCUUCUCCCUCCCUGGCCUAGGGCCCUGACCCAGAAUGACUCUUCAGCCCACGAUUUUAAUCGAAGGCCUCUAAUCAACCUGUGGUACUACAUGCUACACAAGAUUCUCAGAAAUCCCUAAGCUUUCUCAUGAGCCUCCCACCCUGCUGGGAAAUAAGCUGACUUAUCAAUUAAAGAAUAUCCAAAGAUGUUAAGCCACUUAAUCCUCCCCAAAACUCAGUGCGGUAGGGGUUGUUACCUCCCAUUAUACGAAAGGAAAGUGAGGCUUGGGAAGUAAAGAGACUUGUCCAAGAUCACCUUCUGGAGCCACAUUUUACACCACAGGUAAGAGAAAAGGGAUCCGAGAGGGCACGGACACUGUGUCUUCAGACUGAGUGGGGAAGUACCAUUUACCUGGGUACUUAUUGGGUGCAAGUUGCAUGCCCCCGGUGCUAAUACACAAGGGACAAAUUUAUGGGCCUCCUAAAACUGUGGACAGUGCACCCGUCCAGCCAACUUCAUGGGUGCACCGUGAGGCUCUGGUGAUGUGGACAGGCUUAUAAAACACUCUCCAUACUAAGAUGAGGUUGUGUUCCUGUGUCUAGGAAACGCUGGAAAUUAAGUGUACAGCAAUCAAAAAACCUUGACAUCAUCCUUGAUGUCUCUCUUUUUCGCACACUCCAAUUCACUCCAUUAGGAAACUGUAUUGGCAGAAUCUAGUGAAUCUUGUCCUUCAAGGCCUCUCUCUGCAAGGCUCCCAUGAGCCCUGGGGGCUUAUGGAGAGUUCUGGGUGGGCAGAGGAAGCCAGACUGCGUUAGGGAAGCAAAUUUGGGACCUAAAUUUCCUAAGAAGGUUUUAGGGGAUAGGGACCCCAAUCUCUAAGACCCCAGGAUUCUGUUAAGAUUUAUUUUCUCAUUCCAAAUAAAUGUUCACUGGCAAGCCCUAAUUCUGUCUUCUCUUUCUUAAGCAGCCCUCCCUUCCUUCUCCCCACACAACUGUGUAUGCUUCAGGCCCCAGAAAUCCUUCCCUGCUUUGAGGUCUGGCGUUUACCAGGGCAGGGCUUGAGAAUAGAGGUGUAAAUUUGUCAGAAGGAAACAGGGGCCGCGCAGUAAGAGAGUAGAUCCUCAUAUAACAUGGCAGAAAG
rnacentral:lncRNA from 10 species